CGCUAGCUACAGGCUUAACACAUGCAAGUCGAGGGGCAGCAUGGUCUUAGCUUGCUAAGGCCGAUGGCGACCGGCGCACGGGUGAGUAACACGUAUCCAACCUGCCGUCUACUCUUGGACAGCCUUCUGAAAGGAAGAUUAAUACAAGAUGGCAUCAUGAGUCCACAUGUUCACAUGAUUAAAGGUAUUCCGGUAGACGAUGGGGAUGCGUUCCAUUAGAUAGUAGGCGGGGUAACGGCCCACCUAGUCUUCGAUGGAUAGGGGUUCUGAGAGGAAGGUCCCCCACAUUGGAACUGAGACACGGUCCAAACUCCUACGGGAGGCAGCAGUGAGGAAUAUUGGUCAAUGGGCGAGAGCCUGAACCAGCCAAGUAGCGUGAAGGAUGACUGCCCUAUGGGUUGUAAACUUCUUUUAUAAAGGAAUAAAGUCGGGUAUGUAUACCCGUUUGCAUGUACUUUAUGAAUAAGGAUCGGCUAACUCCGUGCCAGCAGCCGCGGUAAUACGGAGGAUCCGAGCGUUAUCCGGAUUUAUUGGGUUUAAAGGGAGCGUAGAUGGAUGUUUAAGUCAGUGGUGAAAGUUUGCGGCUCAACCGUAAAAUUGCAGUUGAUACUGGAUAUCUUGAGUGCAGUUGAGGCAGGCGGAAUUCGUGGUGUAGCGGUGAAAUGCUUAGAUAUCACGAAGAACUCCGAUUGCGAAGGCAGCCUGCUAAGCUGCAAC
rnacentral:rRNA from 1 species